rnacentral:rRNA from 2 species
UAGCUAAUCCUGGUCGGACAUCAGGAGGUUAGUGCAAUGGCAUAAGCUAGCUUGACUGCGAGCGUGACGGCGCGAGCAGGUGCGAAAGCAGGUCAUAGUGAUCCGGUGGUUCUGAAUGGAAGGGCCAUCGCUCAACGGAUAAAAGGUACUCCGGGGAUAACAGGCUGAUACCGCCCAAGAGUUCAUAUCGACGGCGGUGUUUGGCACCUCGAUGUCGGCUCAUCACAUCCUGGGGCUGAAGUAGGUCCCAAGGGUAUGGCUGUUCGCCAUUUAAAGUGGUACGCGAGCUGGGUUUAGAACGUCGUGAGACAGUUCGGUCCCUAUCUGCCGUGGGCGCUGGAGAAUUGAGGGGGGCUGCUCCUAGUACGAGAGGACCGGAGUGGACGCAUCACUGGUGUUCGGGUUGUCAUGCCAAUGGCACUGCCCGGUAGCUAAAUGCGGAAGAGAUAAGUGCUGAAAGCAUCUAAGCACGAAACUUGCCCCG